CAGCCGCGGUAAUACGGAGGGUGCAAGCGUUAUCCGGAUUCACUGGGUUUAAAGGGUCCGUAGGCGGGCCGUUAAGUCAGGGGUGAAAGUCUGCGGCUCAACCGUAGGACUGCCCUUGAUACUGGCGGCCUUGAGUUACGGUGAAGUGGCCAGAAUAUGUGGUGUAGCGGUGAAAUGCAUAGAUAUCACAUGGAAUACCGAUUGCGAAGGCAGGCCACUAACCGUAUACUGACGCUGAUGGACGAAAGCGUGGGUAGCGAAC
rnacentral:rRNA from 1 species